GACACUAUAGCCAAGUGGUUACGGCGACAGAUUCGAAUUUGGCUUACGUGAGCAUAUUCAUCUGUUUCCCUCUGGGAGCGCAGGUUCAAAUCCUGCUGGUGUCG
rnacentral:tRNA from 1 species